rnacentral:rRNA from 1 species
CUGGCGGCGUGCUUAACACAUGCAAGUUGCGCGGUGAUCUCAAGAAGUUUCGGACGGAAAGGGAGAGCAGCAGCGGACGGGUGAGUAAAGCACAAGGACUUGUCCCGAAGAGGGGGACAACUGUGGGAAACCACAGCUAAUACCCCAUAAGCCGAGAGGUGAAAGCAGUAAUGCGCUUUAGGAGAGACUUGUGUCCUAUCAGGUAGUUGGUGAGGUAACGGCUCACCAAGCCGAAGACGGGUAGCCGGACUGAGAGGUUGUACGGCCACAUUGGAACUGAGAGACGGUCCAGACUCCUACGGGAGGCAGCAGUGGGGAAUAUUGGGCAAUGGGGGCAAACCCCCUGACCCAGCGACGCCGCGUGAGGGAAGACAGCCUUCGGGUUGUAAACCUCUGUUGCAGGGGAAGAAGAAAGUGACGGUACCCUGCGAGGAAGCUCCGGCAAACUACGUGCCAGCAGCCGC